GUCUAUGGCCAUGCCACCACGAACAAGCCUGAUCUCAUCUGAUCUUGGAAGAAGCUAAGCAGGGUCGGGCCUGGUUAGUACUUGGAUGGGAGAUCACCUAGGAAGACCAGGUGAUGUAGGCG
rnacentral:rRNA from 1 species